GUGCUUGCUUCGGCAGCACAUAUACUAAAACUGGAACAAUACAGAGAAGAUUAGCAUGGCCCCUGCGCGAGGAUGACAUGCAAAUUCAUGAAGCAUUCCAUUAAAAU
rnacentral:snRNA from 1 species